rnacentral:rRNA from 1 species
GACGAACGCUGGCGGCGUGCCUAAUACAUGAAAGUAGAACGCAGUUUCGAACGGGUGAGUAACGCGUAGGUAACUGCCUGGUAGCGGGGGAUAACUAUUGGAAACGAUAGCUAAUACCGCAUACUACCAGAUGGACCUGCGUUGGAUUAGCUAGUUGGUAAGGUAACUGCUAACCAAGGCAACGAUACAUAGCCGACCGGAGAGGGGGAUCGGCCAAACUGGGACUGAGAAACGGCCCAGACUCCUACGGGAGGCAGCAGUAGGGAAUCUUCGGCAAUGGGGGGAACCCUGACCGAGCAACGCCGCGUGAGUGAAGAAGGUUUUCGGAUCGUAAAGCUCUGUUGUUAAGGAAGCGGUACUUAACCAGAAAGGGACGGCUAACUCCGUGCCAGCCGCCGCGGUAUAC